GGCGUGAUGCGAUCCGUGAGGAAUCCACCACAACCGAUACGAACGUCGUUCGCAUGUAGCGUUGAACGCUUUGUUCCGAGGGGCAGAUAGAGGACAAGGCCUCGUGCCCACAACAUGUUCCGCAUCCGAGAUUUCGAGCAUUACACCUUGGGUGGGCUACACGAGCGCAUGCACACACACACACACGAGUACCAMCCACAGCACAUGCUAUGAGUUCCAAUCCGCACCACGACACCGAUAGGCAACGCAGAGMAAAAUGAAARGGGGACAAUUUAUCCAUCGCAAUACCUCAAAGAUAGGUACGAGCACAGAAGCCCGCAAUCGGACGGG
rnacentral:misc_RNA from 1 species